rnacentral:lncRNA from 1 species
GCCCCGGGUAUGAAGUCUAUUUGAUGUUCUAUCCCUCUUUGAGGAGGUAAUCCACUUGGCAUUUCCUCGGGAAAGACAUCAGCAAAUUUCUGCAAAAGAUUAGCAAACACACUCGGCAAGGAAAGAUCAAGUUCAGUAGUGUUCAAAUAUACAUCUUUAUAAGUAACAACAAAUAACAUCCGACUUGAAUGAAAUGCAUGCCUAACUUCACUUUCC